rnacentral:rRNA from 1 species
CAGUCGCCACGGGAAUACGGAGGGUGCAAGCGUUAAUCGGAAUUACUGGGCGUAAAGCGCACGCAGGCGGUCUGACAAGUCAGAUGUGAAAUCCCCGGGCUUAACCUGGGAACUGCAUUUGAAACUGUCAGGCUGGAGUCUUGUAGAGGGGGGUGGAAUUCCAGGUGUAGCGGUGAAAUGCGUAGAGAUCUGGAGGAAUACCGGUGGCGAAGGCGGCCCCCUGGACAAAGACUGACGCUCAGGUGCGAAAGCGUGGGGAGCAAACAGGAUUAGAUACCCCAGAGUCCCUGUCUCUUAUACA